rnacentral:rRNA from 1 species
AUUGAACGCUGGCGGCAUGCCUUACACAUGCAAGUCGAACGGCAGCACGGGGCAACCUGGUGGCGAGUGGCGAACGGGUGAGUAAUGCAUCGGAACGUACCUUUCAGUGGGGGAUAACGUAGCGAAAGUUACGCUAAUACCGCAUAUUCUGUGAGCAGGAAAGCAGGGGAUCGCAAGACCUUGCGCUGAUUGAGCGGCCGAUGUCAGAUUAGCUAGUUGGUGAGGUAAAGGCUCACCAAGGCGACGAUCUGUAGCGGGUCUGAGAGGAUGAUCAGCCACACUGGAACUGAGACACGGGCCAGACUCCUACGGGAGGCAGCAGUGGGGAAUUUUAGACAAUGGGGGCAACCCUGAUCCAGCCAUGCCGCGUGAGUGAAGAAGGCCUUCGGGUUGUAAAGCUCUUUCGGCCGGGAAGAAAUCGCACAGGCUAAUACCCUGUGUGGAUGACGGUACCGGAAUAAGAAGCACCGGCUAACUACGUGCCAGCCGCCGCCGUAAGAC